rnacentral:rRNA from 1 species
GUAAGGAAUAUUGGACAAUGGACGCAAGUCUGAUCCAGCCAUGCCGCGUGAAGGAUUAAGGUCCUCUGGAUUGUAAACUUCUUUUAUAAGGGACGAAAAAAGGCUUUUCUAAGUCGUCUGACGGUACCUUAUGAAUAAGCACCGGCUAACUCCGUGCCAGCAGCCGCGGUAAUACGGAGGGUGCAAGCGUUAUCCGGAUUCACUGGGUUUAAAGGGUGCGUAGGCGGGCAGGUAAGUCAGUGGUGAAAUCCUAGAGCUUAACUCUAGAACUGCCAUUGAUACUAUCUGUCUUGAAUAUUGUGGAGGUAAGCGGAAUAUGUCAUGUAGCGGUGAAAUGCUUAGAUAUGACAUAGAACACCUAUUGCGAAGGCAGCUUACUACGCAUAUAUUGACGCUGAGGCACGAAAGCGUGGGGAGCAAACAGGAUUAGAUACCCUUGUAGUCC